rnacentral:tRNA from 2 species
GAGGCAAUAGCUCAAACGGAAGAGCAUUCCGCUCAUAACGGUCAGGUUGGUGGUUCGAUUCCACCUUGCCUCU